UUGUAUAAUGGGUCAGCGACUUAUAUUCUGUAGCAAGGUUAACCGAAUAGGGGAGCCGAAGGGAAACCGAGUCUUAACUGGGCGUUAAGUUGCAGGGUAUAGACCCGAAACCCGGUGAUCUAGCCAUGGGCAGGUUGAAGGUUGGGUAACACUAACUGGAGGACCGAACCGACUAAUGUUGAAAAAUUAGCGGAUGACUUGUGGCUGGGGGUGAAAGGCCAAUCAAACCGGGAGAUAGCUGGUUCUCCCCGAAAGCUAUUUAGGUAGCGCCUCGUGAAUUCAUCUCCGGGGGUAGAGCACUGUUUCGGCAAGGGGGUCAUCCCGACUUACCAACCCGAUGCAAACUGCGAAUACCGGAGAAUGUUAUCACGGGAGACACACGGCGGGUGCUAACGUCCGUCGUGAAGAGGGAAACAACCCAGACCGCCAGCUAAGGUCCCAAAGUCAUGGUUAAGUGGGAAACGAUGUGGGAAGGCCCAGACAGCCAGGAUGUUGGCUUAGAAGCAGCCAUCAUUUAAAGAAAGCGUAAUAGCUCACUGGUCGAGUCGGCCUGCGCGGAAGAUGUAACGGGGCUAAACCAUGCACCGAAGCUGCGGCAGCGACACUAUGUGUUGUUGGGUAGGGGAGCGUUCUGUAAGCCUGUGAAGGUGUACUGUGAGGUAUGCUGGAGGUAUCAGAAGUGCGAAUGCUGACAUAAGUAACGAUAAAGCGGGUGAAAAGCCCGCUCGCCGGAAGACCAAGGGUUCCUGUCCAACGUUAAUCGGGGCAGGGUGAGUCGACCCCUAAGGCGAGGCCGAAAGGCGUAGUCGAUGGGAAACAGGUUAAUAUUCCUGUACUUGGUGUUACUGCGAAGGGGGGACGGAGAAGGCUAUGUUGGCCGGGCGACGGUUGUCCCGGUUUAAGCGUGUAGGCUGGU
rnacentral:rRNA from 1 species